rnacentral:lncRNA from 1 species
UACAAUAUUUUACACUUUAUACAUUGCAUGGUAAGAUACAUAAGUGACUUAGUACCACAUAGAGUUCCUAUGAGGUUCAAAAUUUUCACUAUCAUCAUCAUCUCUAUGUGUAUAGUGAGUGUAUUGUGAAGAGUAGUUAUCCAAUUUAAUGAAUAAUAAUCCAAUUUCAUAAAAAAAUAAUCCUAAUAUAAAACAUGGUGAUGAAUAAUAAUCCAAUUUGAUAAUAAUCCAAUUUCAUGAAUAAUAAUCCAAUUUGAUAAUAAAAAAAGGCGACAACAAUCCAAUUGGCAAAAAUGAUUAAAAAAAUCUAAAUUGUCAAACUGACCGACACUCUUAUAGACUCAUUAUAUCACUUUUAUAGACUCAUCUUACCCUUAUAAAUUCAUUAUUUUUCUUGAAAUUGAUUAGAAUCAUUAGAAAAACAAUUUUUUGCAUUUCCAUAUGCCUAACCAAUAAAUACAACUUCUACUAUUUCCCUGAAAUUAUAUAUUUUCACUUUUUCCCUGAAAUUGAGGCCUUUAUCCUAAUAUAAUCUAGACCCCCAGAUUAAUUUAUAUUUUCACUCUUUUUCUGAAAUUAUAUAAAUUGUGCAAUUGAGUCCUUUAUCCUAAUCUAAUCUGGACCCUUCAUCUUGAUUCCCACUCUCUGUCACGCUGCCACGUGGCAGCCCACUAACCCUCACCUUAUCUCUCUCUCUUUUCCCGAGUCCUUCUCGGACCCCUCACUCUCUUUUCCCGAGUCCCUCUCGGACCUCUCGAACUCUCCUUCCCUCUCCUCCUGAACUCUCACCCUCAUGAACUCUCCCUCCCUCUCCUCCUGAACUCUCACCCUCCUGAACUCUCCCUCCCUCUCCUCCGUCUCUGGGAAGCACGGCGACGCGCAGAGGAAGCUCGGCUUCCCCGAUCACACCCACACCCAGGCACACCCAAAUUUGUCCACCCCGAUGCCAGCGCAGCAUCUCCACCACCCUCCCUCCCUCUCCCUCCCUCUCCUCCGUCUCUGGGAAG